GAGUUUGAUCUUGGCUCAGGAUGAACGCUGGCGGCGUGCUUAACACAUGCAAGUCGAACGAUGAUGCAGAGCUUGCUCUGUUGAUUAGUGGCGAACGGGUGAGUAACACGUGAGUAACCUGCCCUUGACUCUGGGAUAAGCACUGGAAACGGUGUCUAAUACCGGAUACGAGCUUCAGCCGCAUGGCUAGGAGUUGGAAAGAAUUUUGGUCAAGGAUGGACUCGCGGCCUAUCAGCUAGUUGGUGAGGUAAUGGCCCACCAAGGCGACGACGGGUAGCCGGCCUGAGAGGGUGACCGGCCACACUGGGACUGAGACACGGCCCAGACUCCUACGGGAGGCAGCAGUGGGGAAUAUUGCACAAUGGGCGCAAGCCUGAUGCAGCAACGCCGCGUGAGGGACGACGGCCUCGGUUGUAA
rnacentral:rRNA from 1 species